GUUUCCUCACUGCUGAGCGAGGCUGAACCCAACUGAAGCAGUACUGACCAUAGAUAUAUGGAUAUCUGUGGUACUGACCGUCUCAAUCUUUUCCUCCUGCUUUUACAGGCCGUAUGAUUUAUUCCAACAAGCUGGGCUUCCUCGGUGGAGUUUCGUGGGCCAUCAUGGUGGCGAGAAUCUGCCAACUGUACCCCUGGUUCUGUUGAUGACAGAGCAACCAGGUUGACUGCAAAGUCCCCUGCACUGGCUUCAAGUGCACACAAGCUACUGGUACAUUCUGUGAGGGAGCAGAGAAUGAGGACCAGAUGAUUGGAUGAGGAUUUCUGAGUUCCAGGCCAGGAACAAAGCCUGCCUCCCUCAUCAGCUACUCUCUGGAGUUUUAGCUGACCUGAACCAGAUGCACAAGCUAAAUGAAAAGGCUUACACCAACCCGGAGCAGUGGCAGAGGAGAGCUACGGCCGCCACGUCAGCCCGCCGGGCCGAGCACCCGACCCCAAUGAGGGGGUCUCUGAUUUCUCACACAUGCAGUUUGCCAGGGGUAGCGGCUCUGCCCCCCAGCCCUCCCAGCAGCAGCUGCAGGAGCAGGACAAGUACAGGGCUGACCUGAAACAGCAGAUUGCUGAGAAAAAGCAGAAGAGAGCGCAGGAAAGGGAAAAAUCUAAGGAGGAAGACGAGGAAGAGGAGAGGAGGCUGGUGGAGCAGAGGGCCCACAUUCAAAAGGAGUAUGAGGAAGAACAGGAGAGGAAGAAGCCAAGCCUGGCCCCUCUUCGAUCCCCUCUUCCCCUAAGCUGGUCUCAGGUUCCACCACAACACUUCCCUGACUGGGAUCCACACCUAGCGGCCCUACUCCUCUUCACCCCGAGGUUCCAGCAGCUGACCUGAGCAGCCACUGCUCUGAGGGAGAGCUCGACGCGAGGGCUCCAAACACCAACGGUGCUGGGAUAAAUGAUCCAAGCCCACCCACUGCUGCACAGGACCCCGACAUCACUCCAUUGGCUCUGCCGGGUCACUCUGAGGUCUCACCGGGAAAGAGGCUGUUGGCGCAGGAUGAGGAUGAGGACACCAUCCUCAGCCUUCCUCCCAGACAUUGUUUUACACCACAGCUUCGAUCAAAAAGAAGUGUCUUAUCUGCAGGAAAGAGAAGAAGGCACGAGAUGGACCACAUGGUCGAGACGGUGGAUGAGGUGAAGGAGAUGUGUUUGAGGAUGGACGGUCAUUUCCAGCACCUCCUGGAGGCUCAGGGAACAGAGGCCCAGGAGAUACCAGACUGGUGGACAUGUUGGAGGCCCACCUUGACCAGAGAGAGAGGGAGAACCAGGCCUUCAAUGAACUGUUCAGGAAGAGCAUUCAGAUGGUGGCCAAGGCGUUCAGUGGCCAGACUUCUG